CCUACGGGGGGCAGCAGUGAGGAAUAUUGGUCAAUGGACGCAAGUCUGAACCAGCCAUGCCGCGUGCAGGAAGAAGGCUCUAUGAGUUGUAAACUGCUUUUGUACGAGGGUAAACGCAGAUACGCGUAUCAGUCUGAAAGUAUCGUACGAAUAAGAAUCGGCUAACUACGUGCCAGCAGCCGCGGUAAUACGGAGGAUUCAAGUGUUAUCCGGAUUUAUUGGGUUUAAAGGGUGCGUAGGCGGUCGGAUAAGUUAGAGGUGAAAUCCCGGGGCUCAACCUCGGAAUUGCCUCUGAUACUGGUCGGCUAGAGAGUAGGUGCGGUAGGCGGAAUGUAUGGUGUAGCGGUGAAAUGCUUAGAGAUCAGACAGAACACCGAUUGCGAAGGCAGCUUACCAAGCUACUUCUGACGUUGAGGCGCGAAAGCGUGGGGAGCAAACAGGAUUAGAUACCCUUGUAGUC
rnacentral:rRNA from 1 species